rnacentral:rRNA from 1 species
CAUCCUCCAAGGCUAAAUACUCCUGACUGACCGAUAGUGAACCAGUACCGUGAGGGAAAGGCGAAAAGAACCCCGGCGAGGGGAGUGAAAAAGAACCUGAAACCGUGUACGUACAAGCAGUGGGAGCACAGGUUUACCUGUGUGACUGCGUACCUUUUGUAUAAUGGGUCAGCGACUUAUAUUCUGUAGCAAGGUUAACCGUAUAGGGGAGCCGUAGGGAAACCGAGUCUUAACCGGGCGUUAAGUUGCAGGGUAUAGACCCGAAACCCGGUGAUCUAGCCAUGGGCAGGUUGAAGGUUGGGUAACACUAACUGGAGGACCGAACCGACUAAUGUUGAAAAAUUAGCGGAUGACCUGUGGCUGGGGGUGAAAGGCCAAUCAAACCGGGAGAUAGCUGGUUCUCCCCGAAAGCUAUUUAGGUAGCGCCUCGUGAAUUCAUCUCCGGGGGUAGAGCACUGUUUCGGCUAGGGGGCCAUCCCGGCUUACCAACCCGAUGCAAACUGCGAAUACCGGAGAAUGUUAUCACGGGAGACACACGGCGGGUGCUAACGUCCGUCGUGAAGAGGGAAACAACCCAGACCGCCAGCUAAGGUCCCAAAGUCAUGGUUAAGUGGGAAACGAUGUGGGAAGGCCCAGACAGCCAGGAUGUUGGCUUAGAAGCAGCCAUCAUUUAAAGAAAGCGUAAUAGCUCACUGGUCGAGUCGGCCUGCGCGGAAGAUGUAACGGGGCUAAACCAUGCACCGAAGCUGCGGCAGCGA